rnacentral:rRNA from 1 species
AUGGGAACGCGAAGAACCUUACCUACUCUUGACAUCCAGAGAACUUUCCAGAGAUGGAUUGGUGCCUUCGGGAACUCUGAGACAGGUGCUGCAUGGCUGUCGUCAGCUCGUGUUGUGAAAUGUUGGGUUAAGUCCCGCAACGAGCGCAACCCGUUAUCCUUUGUUGCCAGCGGUUAGGCCGGGAACUCAAAGGAGACUGCCAGUGAUAAACUGGAGGAAGGUGGGGAUGACGUCAAGUCAUCAUGGCCCUUACGAGUAGGGCUACACACGUGCUACAAUGGCGCAUACAAAGAGAAGCGACCUCGCGAGAGCAAGCGGACCUCAUAAAGUGCGUCGUAGUCCGGAUUGGAGUCUGCAACUCGACUCCAUGAAGUCGGAAUCGCUAGUAAUCGUAGAUCAGAAUGCUACGGUGAAUACGUUCCCC